GCGGAAGUAGCUCAGUUGGUAGAGCGAUAGCCUUCCAAGCUAUAGGUCGCGAGUU
rnacentral:tRNA from 1 species